GGCCCCAUGUUGAAGAGUCAAUGAGAAAGAUUUAGUGGAUUGUGGGGAUUUAUGUAGGAUAAUUUGACCUUCAUUUUGUUGUCAAUUUUCACUUGCCCUUCUGGGCACCUCGAGGUCCCUAACCCCUCCUAGUGUCCUUCUUUCUUGGGCAUAUUUUUGAUCUCCUUUUUGCUUCACAUCUUGAGACCCUGAUCCACUCUGACAGACUUCAAUUCCUUAUGACAGAUUCAAAUAUAUCC
rnacentral:lncRNA from 1 species